rnacentral:rRNA from 1 species
CUACGGGCCGCAGCAGUGGGGAGUAUUGGACAAUGGGGGCAACCCUGAUCCAGCAAUGCCGCGUGUGUGAAGAAGGCCUGCGGGUUGUAAAGCACUUUCGGUUGGGAGGACUGCUUCUAGCACUAAUAUUGUUGGAAGUUGACGUUACCUUCAGAAGAAGCACCGGCUAACUCCGUGCCAGCAGCCGCGGUAAUACGGAGGGUGCAAGCGUUAAUCGGAAUUACUGGGCGUAAAGCGCGCGUAGGCGGCUAGAUCAGUCGGGUGUGAAAGCCCCGGGCUUAACCUGGGAACUGCAUCCGAUACUGUCUAGCUUGAGUACAGGAGAGGAGAGUGGAAUUCCACAUGUAGCGGUGAAAUGCGUAGAUAUGUGGAGGAACACCAAUGGCGAAGGCAGCUCUCUGGCCUGAUACUGACGCUGAGGUACGAAAGCGUGGGGAGCAAACAGGAUUAGAUACCCUCGUAGUC